GAUGAACGCUGGCGGCGUGCCUAAUACAUGCAAGUCGAGCGAACAGACGAGGAGCUUGCUCCUUUGACGUUAGCGGCGGACGGGUGAGUAACACGUGGGUAACCUACCUAUAAGACUGGGAUAACUUCGGGAAACCGGAGCUAAUACCGGAUAAUAUUUCGAACCGCAUGGUUCGAUAGUGAAAGAUGGCUUUGCUAUCACUUAUAGAUGGACCUGCGCCGUAUUAGCUAGUUGGUAAGGUAACGGCUUACCAAGGCAACGAUACGUAGCCGACCUGAGAGGGUGAUCGGCCACACUGGAACUGAGACACGGUCCAGACUCCUACGGGAGGCAGCAGUAGGGAAUCUUCCGCAAUGGGCGAAAGCCUGACGGAGCAACGCCGCGUGAGUGAUGAAGGUCUUCGGAUCGUAAAACUCUGUUAUUAGGGAAGAACAAACGUGUAAGUAACUGUGCACGUCUUGACGGUACCUAAUCAGAAAGCCACGGCUAACUACGUGCCAGCAGCCGCGGUAAUACGUAGGUGGCAAGCGUUAUCCGGAAUUAUUGGGCGUAAAGCGCGCGUAGGCGGUUUUUUAAGUCUGAUGUGAAAGCCCACGGCUCAACCGUGGAGGGUCAUUGGAAACUGGAAAACUUGAGUGCAGAAGAGGAAAGUGGAAUUCCAUGUGUAGCGGUGAAAUGCGCAGAGAUAUGGAGGAACACCAGUGGCGAAGGCGACUUUCUGGUCUGUAACUGACGCUGAUGUGCGAAAGCGUGGGGAUCAAACAGGAUUAGAUACCCUGGUAGUCCACGCCGUAAACGAUGAGUGCUAAGUGUUAGGGGGUUUCCGCCCCUUAGUGCUGCAGCUAACGCAUUAAGCACUCCGCCUGGGGAGUACGACCGCAAGGUUGAAACUCAAAGGGAUUGACGGGGACCCGCACAAGCGGUGGAGCAUGUGGUUUAAUUCGAAGCAACGCGAAGAACCUUACCAAAUCUUGACAUCCUUUGACCCUUCUAGAGAUAGGAGUUUCCCCUUCGGGGGACAAAGUGACAGGUGGUGCAUGGUUGUCGUCAGCUCGUGUCGUGAGAUGUUGGGUUAAGUCCCGCAACGAGCGCAACCCUUAAGCUUAGUUGCCAUCAUUAAGUUGGGCACUCUAAGUUGACUGCCGGUGACAAACCGGAGGAAGGUGGGGAUGACGUCAAAUCAUCAUGCCCCUUAUGAUUUGGGCUUCACACGUGCUACAAUGGACAAUACAAAGGGCAGCGAAACCGCGAGGUCAAGCAAAUCCCAUAAAGUUGUUCUCAGUUCGGAUUGUAGUCUGCAACUCGACUACAUGAAGCUGGAAUCGCUAGUAAUCGUAGAUCAGCAUGCUACGGUGAAUACGUUCCCGGGUCU
rnacentral:rRNA from 1 species